rnacentral:rRNA from 1 species
UACGUAGGUGGCAAGCGUUUGUCCGGAAUUAUUGGGCGUAAAGCGCGCGCAGGCGGCCUUUUAAGUCUGAUGUGAAAGCCCACGGCUCAACCGUGGAAGGUCAUUGGAAACUGAAAGGCUUGAGUACAGAAGAGGAAAGCGGAAUUCCACGUGUAGCGGUGAAAUGCGCAGAUAUCGGGAAGAACACCCGUGGCGAAGGCGGUUCUCUGGGACGGUACUGACGCUGAGACGCGAAAGCGUGGGGAGCGAACAGG